CUGGCAGUUUUGUGCCAAGUAGGCCCGCCAGUUCAUGAAGGGGUGGGGUGCCAACUUUGGUCAUGAUCUCCAUGAGCGGAAAAGGCCAUCCUUGCUUCCAUCCAGGCCCUUGACCUCCGAGCUGACUCGCCUGGCCUAACUCCCGAGGAGUGGCUCCUCCGCUACGAUCUGGAGGAUCAACUCUCCGUCAUCUACGCCGAUGAGGAUGCGUAUUGGCGGUUGCGUGGCUCCCAGAAAUGGGUGCUGAAGGGCGACACGAACAUGACCUACUUUCAAGCCAUCGCCGAUGGUCAGCGUCGGUGCAACACCAUCCCCCUUCUUUGGGACGAGACGACUCUCUUGCAAUGCCCUAGAGACAUCCGCGCUCACGUCGACAGCUUCUGUAAAGACCUCUUCUCCACCUCCCCUCGGGGAGGGCUUGCUCUUGCUCUAGACUGCUGGGCCAAGCACCUUCGGGUCUCCCCUGCUGAGAACGUCGUACUGACCGCCCCCUUCUCCGAGGGCGAGGUCUGGGAUGCCAUCAAAGGCAUGAACUCAUCGUCGGCCUCGGGGCCCGAUGGCCUUCCGGUGAAAUUCCAGACCUUCUGGAAUGUGAUUAAACCAGAGAUCAUGGACAUCUUCGGUGAGUUCUAUGUGGGCUCCAUUGACCUCAGACGCCUCAACUAUGGGAUCAUUUCGCUUAUUCCCAAAGUGCCAGGGGCGUCCGACAUCCGUCAGUUCCGCCCAAUCACGGUGAUCAACGUGAUCUAA
rnacentral:rRNA from 1 species